rnacentral:rRNA from 1 species
GAUGAACGCUGGCGGCGUGCUUAACACAUGCAAGUCGAACGGUGAAGGCGGAGCUUGCUCUGCUGGAUCAGUGGCGAACGGGUGAGUAACACGUGAGCAAUCUGCCCCUGACUCUGGGAUAAGCGCUGGAAACGGCGUCUAAUACUGGAUACGAGCUGCGAAGGCAUCUUCAGCAGCUGGAAAGAAUUUCGGUCAGGGAUGAGCUCGCGGCCUAUCAGCUUGUUGGUGAGGUAAUGGCUCACCAAGGCGUCGACGGGUAGCCGGCCUGAGAGGGUGACCGGCCACAGCGGGGAUGGGGAGACGGCCGGAGCGCGUCGGGGGGGAAGGGGGGGGGAAUGUGGGAGAAAGGGCGAGGGCCUGAGGCAGGAACGCCGGGGGGGGGGCGACGGCCUUCGGGUGGAAACCCGUUUUUAGGGGGAAGGGAGCGAAGGUAAGGGUACCGGCAAAAAAGGCGCCGCCAAACAAGGG